rnacentral:tRNA from 2 species
GGAGGGGUGGCCGAGCGGCUGAAGGCGCACGCUUGGAAAGCGUGUAUACGGGAAACCGUAUCGAGGGUUCGAAUCCCUCUCCCUCCGCCA